rfam:Rhodnius prolixus Rhodnius_prolixus-3.0.3-3.14, whole genome shotgun sequence.
UCAACGGCCCUUUUCAGGGCCACCAGAUAUUCUGAAUCACUUAUCA